rnacentral:rRNA from 1 species
AGCGAACGCUGGCGGCAGGCCUAACACAUGCAAGUCGAGCGGCCGUAGCAAUACGGCAGCGGCAGACGGGAGAGUAACACGUGGGAACGCGCCCUUCGGUUCGGGAUAACUCAGGGAAACUUGGGCAAAUACCGGAUACGCCCUUACGGGGAAAGAUUUAUUGCCGAAGGAACGGACCGCGUCCGAUUAGCUUGUUGGUGAGGUAACGGCUCACCAAGGCGACGGUCGGUAGCUGGUCUGAGAGGAUGACCAGCCUCACCGGGACUGAGACACGGCCCAGACUCCUACGGGAGGCAGCAGUGGGGAAUAUUGGACAAUGGGCGCAAGCCUGAUCCAGCCAUGCCGCGUGGGUGAUGAAGGCCCUAGGGUUGUAAAGCCCUUUCAGCGGGGAAGAUAAUGACGGUACCCGCAGAAGAAGCCCCGGCUAACUUCGUGCCAGCCGCCGCCGUAA